rnacentral:lncRNA from 1 species
GGGGUCAAUUGACCAUUUAGGUCAUGUGGACUUAUUUGUAGAUCUUACUUUGAUGAACAUUAUCGCUGUUUACAGUUUAUCGCUAUCUAUAAUAGUAUUCAAGAUAAUAACCAAAAACAGCAAAAUUUCUUUAAAAAUUACCAAUUGGAGGGCAGCAACCCAACAACCGGUUGUCCAAUUCAUUUGAAUAUUUCAGGGCAGAUAUAUAUUGACUUGAUUAACAAUUUAACUCCUUGUCAGAUUUCCUCUAAAUGAUUUGGUUUCAGAGUUGUAAGCAAAAAACUACAUUUUACCCCUGUUCUAUUUUUAGCCGUGGUGGCCAUCUUGGUUGGAUGGCCAGGUCAUCGGACACAUUUUUCAAACAAGGUACCUCAAAGAUGAUUGUGGCCAAGUUUGAAAUAAUUUGGCCCAGUAGUUUCAGAGGAGAAGAUUUUUGUAAAAGAUAACUAAGAUUUACGAAAAAUGGUUAAAAAUUGACUAUAAAGGGCAAUAACUCCUAAAGGGGUCAACUGACCAUUUCGGUCAUGUUGACUUAUUUGUAAAUCUUACUUUGAUGAACAUUAUUGCUGUUUACAGUUUAUCUCUAUCUAUAAUAAUAUUCAAGAUAAUAACCAAAAACGGCAAAAAUUUCCUCAAAAUUACCAAUUCAGGGGCAGCAAUCCAACAACAGGUUGACCGAUUCAUCUGAAAAUUUCAGGGCAGAUAGAUCUUGACCUGAUAAACAUUUUUACUCCGUCAGAUUUCCUCUAAAUGUUUUGCUUUUUGAGUUAUAAGCCAAAAACUGCAUUUUACCCCUAUGUUCUAUUUUUAGCCGUGGCGGCCAUCUUGGUUGGUUGACCGGAUCACGCCACACAUUGUUUUAAACUAGAUACCCCAAAGAUGAUUGUGGCCAACUUUGGAUUAAUUUGGCCCAUUAGUUUCAGAGGAGAAGAGUUUUGUAAAAGAUUACUUAGAUUUAUGAAAAAUGGUUAAAAAUUGACUAUAAAGGGCAAUAACUCCUUAAGGGGUCAACUGACCAUUUCGGUCAUGUUGACUUAUUUGUAAAUCUUAACUUUGCUGAACAUUAUUGCUGUUUACAGUUUAUCUCUAUCUAUAAUAAUAUUCAAGAUAAUAACCAAAAACGGCAAAAUUUCCUCAAAAUUACCAAUUCAGGGGCAGCAACCCAACAACAGGUUGACCGAUUCAUCUGAAAAUUUCAGGGCAGAUAGAUCUUGACCUGAUAAACAUUUUUACCCCCCCCCCCCCCCCCCAUCAGAUUUCCUCUAAAUGCUUUGGUUUUUGAGUUAUAAGCCAAAAACUGCAUUUUACCCCUAUGUUCUAUUUUUAGCCGUGGCGGCCAUCUUGGUUGGUUGACCGGGUCACGCCACACAUUUUUUAAACUAGAUACCCUAAAGAUGAUUGUGGCCAAGUUUGGAUUAAUUUGGCCCAGUAGUUUCAGAGGAGAAGAUUUUUGUAAAAGAUUACUUAGAUUUAUGAAAAAUGGUUAAAAAUUGACUAUAAAGGGCAAUAACUCCUAAAGGGGUCAACUGACCAUUUCGGUCAUGUUGACUUAUUUGUAAAUCUAACUUUGCCGAACAUUAUUGCUGUUUACAGUUUAUCUCUAUCUAUAAUAAUAUUCAAGAUAAUAACCAAAAACAGCAAAAUUUCCUCAAAAUGACCAAUUCAGAGGCAGCAACCCAACAACGGGUUGACCGAUUCAUCUGAAAAUUUCAGGGCAGAUAGAUCUUGACCUGAUAAACAUAUUUACCCCUGUCAGAUUUCCUCUAAAUGCUUUGGUUUUUGAGUUAUAAGCCAAAAACUGCAUUUUACCCCUAUGUUCUAUUUUUAGCCGUGGCGGCCAUCUUGGUUGGUUGACCGGGUCACGCCACACAUUUUUUAAACUAGAUACCCCAAUGAUGAUUGUGGCCAAGUUUGGUUCAAUUUGGCCCAGUAGUUUCAGAGGAGAAGAUUUUUGUAAAAGUUAACGACGACGGACGACGGACGACAGACGACGACGGACGACGGACGACGACGACGGACGCCGGACGCAAAGUGAUGGGAAUAGCUCACUUGGCCCUUCGGGCCAGGUGAGCUAAAAAUGUC